rnacentral:rRNA from 1 species
CCCUUAGAUGUUCUGGGCUGCACACGUGCUACACUGGCAGGUUCAGCGAGCUUCAUGCCCUGAUCUGAAAGGAAUGGGAAAUCUUUUCAAAACCUGCCGUGCUUGGGAUAGAUGUUUGCAAUUAUUCAUCUUCAACGAGGAUUGCCUUGUAAGCGCACGUCAUCAGCGUGCAUUGAAUACGACCCUGUAUUCUGUACACACCGCCCGUCGCUCCUACCGAUUGAAGUUUUCGGUGAGUUGACAGGAGGAUUUUUUUGAAACUGGUUCGCCAGUGGAUUUUAGAUCCAAAUGCCAACGAAUCGAUAGCUUUAGAGGAAGGAGAAGUCGUAACA